UAAAAAUUUAGUUGCUUAUUAAAUUAAGAAAAAUAUUAUUUUAUUAUUUUAUAGAAAAAAUUUAAUUUUAUUAUAGUUUAAAAGUAUUGAAAAAGAAAUUUUUAAUUUUUAAAAAGAAAAAUUUAAUUUUUGUACCUUGUGUAUCAGGGUUUAUUAAAUUAAUAAAAAUAUUUUUAUUUCUCGAAUUUAAAAGAUCUAAUAAAUUAUGAUUAUUAUUGUAAAAUAACUAAAAUUUAAUAUUUUAUUAGUAAUGAAAUGUUUUUCGUUUUUAAAUAUAUCUAGUUUUUUAAGAAAUUAAUUUAAUUAAUUUAUUAUAAAUAUAUUUUUGUUUAAAUAAUUUUAUAUUAAUAAUAAAAAAUAUUUUUAGGGAUUAGCUUAAAAUUUGAUUUUUAUUAAAAAUUUAAAAAAUUAUAAAAUUAGGAUUAAAAAUUUCCAAAUUUUAAAGUAUGUUAUUAUUUAUUAUGGUGCAAUAAUUUUUUUAUUUUUUAUAAAUAUUUUAUUAAAAUAUAAAUUUAAAUUUUAAUGAUUUAGAAAUUAUGAUAGAAUUAGUAAAUUAUAAUGUAAAAUUUUAAUAUUUAUUAGAUUUUAUAAAGGAAUUCGGCAAAUUAUUUUUUACCUGUUUAUUAAAAACAUGUCUUUUUGUAAAAAUAUAAAGUCUAACCUGCCCUAUGAAAAUUUAAAUGGCCGCGGUAUAUUAACCGUGCUAAGGUAGCAUAAUCAUUAGUUUUUUAAUUGAAAGCUGGAAUGAAGGGUUGGAUAAAAAAAUAACUGUCUCUAUAAAAAUGAUUGAAUUUUAUUUUUAAGUUAAAAAGCUUAAAUUUUUUUAAAAGACGAGAAGACCCUAUAGAGUUUAAUAUAAAAUAUAAUUAUUUUUUUUAGUAUUUAUUUAAAUAAUUAGAUUUUAUAUUUAGUUGGGGUGAUUGAAAAAUUAAAUAAACUUUUUUUGUAUAAAAAUAUAUUUUUAUAAAUAAUUGAUCCAAAAAUUUUGAUUAUAAGAUAAAAUUACCUUAGGGAUAACAGCGUGAUUUUAUUAGAGAGUUCUUAUUGAUAAUAAAGAUUGCGACCUCGAUGUUGGAUUAAAAUUUAUAAUUGGUGCAGAAGCUAUAUUAUUAAGUCUGUUCGACUUUUAAAAUUUUACAUGAUCUGAGUUUAAACCGGUGUAAGCCAGGUUGGUUUCUAUCUUUAAUAAAUUUAUAUAUUUUAGUACGAAAGGACCAAUUAUAUAAAUAAUAUUUUAAAAUUGAAUAAUAAAU
rnacentral:rRNA from 1 species